rnacentral:rRNA from 1 species
CAGUCGCCGCGGGAAUACAGAGGGUGCGAGCGUUAAUCGGAUUUACUGGGCGUAAAGCGUGCGUAGGCGGCUUCUUAAGUCGGAUGUGAAAUCCCUGAGCUUAACUUAGGAAUUGCAUUCGAUACUGGGAAGCUAGAGUAUGGGAGAGGAUGGUAGAAUUCCAGGUGUAGCGGUGAAAUGCGUAGAGAUCUGGAGGAAUACCGAUGGCGAAGGCAGCCAUCUGGCCUAAUACUGACGCUGAGGUACGAAAGUAUGGGGAGCAAACAGGAUUAGAUACCCGAGUAGUCCCUGUCUCUUAUAC